AUACGUAGGUGGCAAGCGUUGUCCGGAAUUGUUGGGCGUAAAGCGCGCGCAGGCGGUCCUUUAAGUCUGAUGUGAAAGCCCACGGCUCAACCGUGGAGGGUCAUUGGAAACUGGGGGACUUGAGUGCAGAAGAGGAAAGUGGAAUUCCAAGUGUAGCGGUGAAAUGCGUAGAGAUUUGGAGGAACACCAGUGGCGAAGGCGACUUUCUGGUCUGUAGCUGACGCUGAGGCGCGAAAGCGUGGGGAGCAAACAGGAUUAGAUACCCUGGUAGUCCACGCCGUAAACGAUGAGUGCUAAGUGUUAGGGGGUUUCCGCCCCUUAGUGCUGCAGCUAACGCAUUAAGCACUCCGCCUGGGGAGUACGGUCGCAAGACUGAAACUCAAAGGAAUUGACGGGG
rnacentral:rRNA from 1 species